UAAUAAGAAACAAAACUUGUAUUUAGUUUCGACCUAAAAUUUUGAUAAUGACUUAUCCUUAUUUU
rnacentral:tRNA from 1 species